ACAACUCCAAGGAUACGAGGCAAGGUAAGAUCAGAGUGAUGAGAGGACUUCCCUGGUGGUCUUGUGCAGGGUGUGU
ensembl:miRNA